rnacentral:rRNA from 1 species
AGAGUUUGAUCAUGGCUCAGAAUCAACGCUGGCGGCGCGCCUAACACAUGCAAGUCGAACGGGAAAGUGGAGCAAUCCAUGAGUAAAGUGGCGUACGGGUGAGUAACACGUGGAUCAUCUGCCCUUUAGUGGGGAAUACCGUUGGGAAACCGACGACAAUACCGCAUAAGCUCGAGAGAGGAAAGCAGAAAUGCGCUGAAGGAGGAGUCCGCGGUCGAUUAGCUCGUUGGUAGGGUAAUGGCCUACCAAGGCUGUGAUCGAUAGCCGGCCUGAGAGGGCACACGGCCACACUGGCACUGAAACACGGGCCAGACUCCUACGGGAGGCAGCAGUGGGGAAUCUUGCACAAUGGGGGAAACCCUGAUGCAGCGACGCCGCGUGAGCGAUGAAGCCCUUCGGGGUGUAAAGCUCUUUCGGCAGGGAAGAUUAUGACGGUACCUGCAGAAGCAGCUGCGGCUAACUACGUGCCAGCAGCCGCGGUAAUACGUAGGCAGCAAGCGUUGUUCGGAGUUACUGGGCGUAAAGGGUGCGUAGGCGGCUCUAUAAGUAUGGUGUGAAAUCUCCCGGCUUAACUGGGAGGGUGCGCUAUAGACUGUGGGGCUAGAGUGUGGGAGAGGAAAGUGGAAUUCCUGGUGUAGCGGUGAAAUGCGUAGAUAUCAGGAGGAACACCGGUGGUGUAAACGGCUUUCUGGACCAUAACUGACGCUGAGGCACGAAAGCGUGGGUAGCAAACAGGAUUAGAUACCCUAGUAGUCC